rnacentral:rRNA from 1 species
GACGAACGCUGGCGGCGUGCUUAACACAUGCAAGUCGAACGAAGUGGCGAACGGGUGAGUAAUACGUGAGUAACCUGCCCUCCUUUUCGGGAUAAGCCUUGGAAACGGGGUCUAAUACCGAAUAAAGGGGGAUGGGCUCGCGGCCUAGCAGCUUGUUGGGGGGGUGAUGGCCUACCAAGGCGGUGGCGGGUAGCCGGCCUGAGAGGGUGACCGGCGACAUUGGAACUGGAAUACGUGCCAGACGCGUACGGAAGGCAGCAAUGGGGGAUAAUGCACAAUGGGCUGAAGCCUAAUGCGGCGACGACGCGUGGAGGAUUAAGGCUUUCGGGUUGUAAACCUCUUUCACGAACGAACGGGUAGGUGGAGAAGAAGCGCCGGCUAACUACGUGCCAGCAGCCGCGGUAAUAC